CCCCCGAUGGGGAUGUAUCUAGGGAACUCUAGUCUCCCCAAAGGAGUGAAUCCUUACUCCAUGAAAGCAGCAGGUCUAGGGGGCAGGUAUCCCAAGCUAUUGAACCCUGGUGGGAUCACCACAACGCCUCCAUACCAGGGACCUGGAUCGCUCCCUGCCCAGCACACAACACUCAUGGCACCAAUGGCUGUGCCAUUCGAUGUUUAAAGGCAGAAACUUGCCCAAGGCACUCUACCCUAUUGAGGUCAUUUUCCAGGAGGGAUCAUUUGAUAUUUCAGCAUUUUUAAAAGACAAAAAAAAGCAUAAAAAAGUUAUUAAAAGACUCUGUAUGUUCA